rnacentral:rRNA from 1 species
UACGAAGGGGGCUAGCGUUGCUCGGAAUCACUGGGCGUAAAGCGCACGUAGGCGGCUUGUUAAGUCAGGGGUGAAAUCCUGGAGCUCAACUCCAGAACUGCCUUUGAUACUGAUGAGCUUGAGUUCGGGAGAGGUGAGUGGAACUGCGAGUGUAGAGGUGAAAUUCGUAGAUAUUCGCAAGAACACCAGUGGCGAAGGCGGCUCACUGGCCCGAUACUGUCGCUGAGGUGCGAAAGCGUGGGGAGCGAACCGG